GGGGCCCCUAUUGAAUAAACGUCAAUGAGGUGAAAUCCUGUUUGUCUGUGCAGCCCUUUGUGCACGGAUAUUUGCUGAUCACACUCCUUGGCAUUGGAAUGCAAAGUGGGUGGUAAGUUUCAUGUAAAGGUAAACAUGCAAUUGACUGAUAGCACACAAGUACCAUGAGGGAAAUAUGAAAAGGACUUUGAAAAGAGAAUUAAAUGAGUUGUAUUUGCUGAACACAAAGUAAACAGACUUGAUUUGCUUGUGGGAGUGUUGCACUUGCUUGACAAGAGCUUUGGGCUGUGGGUGUAAUGAUUCUUUCUUUGCAUGCCAGUUUCUAUUUGUACAUCUGAUUACCUUUGCACGAAUGAUAAGUCUCCUGUGGGGGGUGGAUUGCAUUGCAUGUAAUGAUUUGUGUUUUGAUAAAUGUGUCUGGGUAGUGUGUGUUCCUGUGGGGAUGCUUCCUUGAAACACCUGACACACAC
rnacentral:rRNA from 1 species